UACGAAGGGGGCGAACGUUAUCCUAAAUGAUUGGGCGUAAAGUGUUCGUAGGCGGUAUCUUGUGUUAUUUCUAAAAGUUUUGGUUAAGCGCCUAAAAAUAUAAAUAAUACGCAUAUACUUGAGUAUAAUAGAGGACAGCAGAAUUUCAUAUGUAAGGGUAAAAUCUGAUAAUAUAUGAAGGAAUGUCAGUGGCGAAAGCGGCAUCCUGGACCAUUACUGACGCUGAGGCGCGAAAGCUAGGGGAGCAAACGGG
rnacentral:rRNA from 1 species